UGGGGAAUCUUGCACAAUGGGGGAAACCCUGAUGCAGCGACGCCGCGUGAGCGAUGAAGCCCUUCGGGGUGUAAAGCUCUUUCAGUAGGGACGAUUAUGACGGUACCUGCAGAAGAAGCUGCGGCUAACUACGUGCCAGCAGCCGCGGUAAUACGUAGGCAGCAAGCGUUGUUCGGAGUUACUGGGCGUAAAGAGAGCGUAGGCGGCUCGCUAAGUUUGGUGUGAAAUCUCCCGGCUUAACUGGGAGGGUGCGCCGAAAACUGGCGGGCUAGAGUGUGGGAGAGGGAAGCGGAAUUCCUGGUGUAGCGGUGAAAUGCGUAGAUAUCAGGAGGAACACCCGCGGUGAAGACGGCUUCCUGGACCACUACUGACGCUGAGGCUCGAAAGCGUGGGGAGCAAACA
rnacentral:rRNA from 1 species